rnacentral:rRNA from 1 species
UACAGAGGUCCCAAGCGUUGUUCGGAUUCAUUGGGCGUAAAGGGUGCGUAGGCGGCGCGGUAAGUCGGGUGUGAAAUCUCGGGGCUUAACUCCGAAACUGCAUUCGAUACUGCCGUGCUUGAGGACUGGAGAGGAGACUGGAAUUUACGGUGUAGCGGUGAAAUGCGUAGAUAUCGGAAGGAACACCUGUGGCGAAAGCGGCUCACUGGACCAUUACUGACGCUGAUGCACGAAAGCUAGGGGAGCAAACAGG